rnacentral:rRNA from 1 species
GAUGAACGCUAGCGGCAGGCUUAAUACAUGCAAGUCGAGGGGUAGCAAGAUUGUAGCAAUACAAUUGUUGACGACCGGCAAACGGGUGCGGGACACGUACACAACCUUCCUACAAGUGGGGAAUAGCCCAGAGAAAUUUGGAUUAAUACCCCGUAACAUAGCGAUGUGGCAUCACAUUGCUAUUAUAGCUUCGGCGCUUGUUGAUGGGUGUGCGGCUGAUUAGAUAGUUGGCGGGGUAACGGCCCACCAAGUCUACGAUCAGUAGCUGAUGUGAGAGCAUGAUCAGCCACACGGGCACUGAGACACGGGCCCGACUCCUACGGGAGGCAGCAGUAAGGAAUAUUGGACAAUGGACGCAAGUCUGAUCCAGCCAUGCCGCGUGAAGGAUUAAGGUCCUCUGGAUUGUAAACUUCUUUUAUAAGGGACGAAAAAAGGUCUUUCUAGAUCGUCUGACGGUACCUUAUGAAUAAGCACCGGCUAACUUCGUGCCAGCAGCCGCCGUAAGAC